rnacentral:rRNA from 1 species
CCUACGGGAGGCAGCAGUGGGGAAUAUUGGACAAUGGGGGAAACCCUGAUCCAGCCAUGCCGCGUGAGUGAUGAAGGCCUUCGGGUUGUAAAGCUCUUUUGUCAGGGAGGCGGUACCUGAAGAAUAAGCCCCGGCUAACUUCGUGCCAGCAGCCGCGGUAAUACGAAGGGGGCUAGCGUUGUUCGGAAUUACUGGGCGUAAAGGGCGCGUAGGCGGUUCUUUAAGUCAGGAGUGAAAGCCCUGGGCUCAACCCGGGAAUUGCUUUUGAAACUAAGGAACUUGAGUAUAGGAGAGGUGAGUGGAAUACCCAGUGUAGAGGUAAAAUUCGUAGAUAUUGGGUGGAACACCAGUGGCGAAGGCGGCUCACUGGCUUUACUGACGCUGAGGCGCGAAAGCGUGGGGAGCAAACAGGAUUAGAUACCCUGGUAGUC